rnacentral:rRNA from 1 species
CCUACGGGGGGCAGCAGUGAGGAAUAUUGGUCAAUGGGCGAGAGCCUGAACCAGCCAAGUCGCGUGAGGGAGUACUGCCCUAUGGGUUGUAAACCUCUUUUGUCGGGGAGCAAAAGCCGGACGUGUCCGGCUGUGAGAGUACCCGAAGAAAAAGCAUCGGCUAACUCCGUGCCAGCAGCCGCGGUAAUACGGAGGAUGCGAGCGUUAUCCGGAUUUAUUGGGUUUAAAGGGGGCGGAGGCGGAUUUUUAAGUCAGCGGUAAAAUCGUGGGGCUCAACCCCAUCCAGCCGUUGAAACUGGGGAUCUAGAGUGUGCGAGAGGUAUGCGGAAUGCGUGGUGUAGCGGUGAAAUGCAUAGAUAUCACGCAGAACCCCGAUUGCGAAGGCAGCAUACCGGUGCACAACUGACGCUCAGGCACGAAAGCGUGGGUAUCGAACAGGAUUAGAUACCCCUGUAGUC